UUAACCGUAUAGGGGAGCCGGAGGGAAACCGAGUCUUAAUUGGGCGUUAAGUUGCAGGGUAUAGACCCGAAACCCGGUGAUCUAGCCAUGGGCAGGUUGAAGGUUGGGUAACACUAACUGGAGGACCGAACCGACUAAUGUUGAAAAAUUAGCGGAUGACUUGUGGCUGGGGGUGAAAGGCCAAUCAAACCGGGAGAUAGCUGGUUCUCCCCGAAAGCUAUUUAGGUAGCGCCUCGUGAACUCAUCUUCGGGGGUAGAGCACUGUUUCGGCUAGGGGGUCAUCCCGACUUACCAACCCGAUGCAAACUGCGAAUACCGAAGAAUGUUAUCACGGGAGACACACGGCGGGUGCUAACGUCCGUCGUGAAGAGGGAAACAACCCAGACCGCCAGCUAAGGUCCCAAAGUCACAGUUAAGUGGGAAACGAUGUGGGAAGGCCCAGACAGCCAGGAUGUUGGCUUAGAAGCAGCCAUCAUUUAAAGAAAGCGUAAUAGCUCACUGGUCGAGUCGGCCUGCGCGGAAGAUGUAACGGGGCUAAACCAUGCACCGAAGCUGCGGCAGCGACGCUGAUGCGUUGUUGGGUAGGGGAGCGUUCUGUAAGCCUGUGAAGGUGGCCUGUGAGGGUUGCUGGAGGUAUCAGAAGUGCGAAUGCUGACAUAAGUAACGAUAAAGCGGGUGAAAAGCCCGCUCGCCGGAAGACCAAGGGUUCCUGUCCAACGUUAAUCGGGGCAGGGUGAGUCGACCCCUAAGGCGAGGCCGAAAGGCGUAGUCGAUGGGAAACGGGUUAAUAUUCCCGUACUUGGUGUUACUGCGAAGGGGGGACGGAGAAGGCUAUGUUGGCCGGGCGACGGUUGUCCCGGUUUAAGCGUGUAGGCUGGUUUUCCAGGCAAAUCCGGAAAAUCAAGGCUGAGGCGUGAUGACGAGGCACUACGGUGCUGAAGCAACAAAUGCCCUGCUUCCAGGAAAAGCCUCUAAGCAUCAGGUAACAUCAAAUCGUACCCCAAACCGACACAGGUGGUCAGGUAGAGAAUACCAAGGCGCUUGAGAGAACUCGGGUGAAGGAACUAGGCAAAAUGGUGCCGUAACUUCGGGAGAAGGCACGCUGACACGUAGGUGAAGUGAUUUACUCAUGGAGCUGAAGUCAGUCGAAGAUACCAGCUGGCUGCAACUGUUUAUUAAAAACACAGCACUGUGCA
rnacentral:rRNA from 1 species